GAUGAACGCUGGCGGCGUGCCUAAUACAUGCAAGUCGAGCGAACGGACGAGAAGCUUGCUUCUCUGAUGUUAGCGGCGGACGGGUUAGUAACACGUGGAUAACCUACCUAUAAGACUGGGAUAACUUCGGGAAACCGGAGCUAAUACCGGAUAAUAUUUUGAACCGCAUGGUUCAAAAGUGAAAGACGGUCUUGCUGUCACUUAUAGAUGGAUCCGCGCUGCAUUAGCUAGUUGGUAAGGUAACGGCUUACCAAGGCAACGAUGCAUAGCCGACCUGAGAGGGGGAUCGGCCACACUGGAACUGAGAAACGGUACAGACGCCUAAGGGAGGCAGCAGUAGGGAAUCUUCUGCAAUGGGCGAAAGCCUGACGGAGCAACGCCGCGGGAGUGAUGAAGGUCUUCGGAUCGUAAAACUCUGUUAUUAGGGAAGAACAUAUGUGUAAGUAACUGUGCAAAUCUUGACGGUACCUAAUCAGAAAGCCACGGCUAACUACGUG
rnacentral:rRNA from 1 species